rnacentral:rRNA from 1 species
GACGAACGCUGGCGGCGUGCCUAAUACAUGCAAGUAGAACGCUGAAGGAGGAGCUUGCUCUUCUGGAUGAGUUGCGAACGGGUGAGUAACGCGUAGGUAACCUGCCUGGUAGCGGGGGAUAACUAUUGGAAACGAUAGCUAAUACCGCAUAUCAGUAGAUGUUGCAUGACAUUUGCUUAAAAGGUGCAAUUGCACCACUACCAGAUGGACCUGCGUUGUAUUAGCUAGUUGGAGGGGUAACGGCUCACCAAGGCGACGACACAUAGCCGACCUGAGAGGGGGAUCAGCCACACUGGGAGGGUGACACGGCCCAGAGUCCUACGGGAGGCAGCCGUAGGGAUUCUGGGGCAAUCGGCGGAAGUCUGACCGCGCAACGCCGCGUGCGUGAGGAGGGUUGUCGGGUCGUAAAGCUCUGUUGUAGGAGAAGAACGAGUGUGAGGGUGGAAAGUUCACACUGUGACGGUAUCUUACCAGAAAGGGACGGCUAACUACGUG